UACGUAGGGGGCGAGCGUUGUCCGGAUUUACUGGGCGUAAAGCGCGUGUAGGCGGUUCUUUAAGUCCGGGGUGAAAUCCGGGGGCUUAACCCCCGAACAGCGCCGGAAACUGGAGAGCUUGAGUGUCGGAGAGGGGAGUGGAAUUCUCGGUGUAGCGGUGAAAUGCGUAGAGAUCGAGAGGAACACCCGUGGCGAAGGCGGCUCCCUGGCCGAACACUGACGCUGAGACGCGAAAGCGUGGGGAGCGAACGGG
rnacentral:rRNA from 1 species